rnacentral:pre_miRNA from 1 species
CGGGGGAGGCCGGAUCCUGGGCUGUGUCCCGGCGCCCUGUGCUCCGGGGCCUGUGCUGUUGGAUUCAGGCUCCAGGGCAGCACAGCCCCCU